rnacentral:rRNA from 1 species
UACGGGGGGAGCAAGCGUUGUUCGGAUUUACUGGGCGUAAAGGGCGCGUAGGCGGCGUGACAAGUCACUUGUGAAAUCUCCGGGCUUAACCCGGAGCGGUCAAGUGAUACUGUCGUGCUAGAGUGCGGAAGGGGCUACUGGAAUUCUCGGUGUAGCGGUGAAAUGCGUAGAUAUCGAGAGGAACACCUGCGGCGAAGGCGGGUUGCUGGGCCGACACUGACGCUGAUGCGCGAAAGCCAGGGGAGCGAACGGG